UACGUAGGGGGCAAGCGUUGUCCGGAAUCAUUGGGCGUAAAGCGCGUGUAGGCGGCUCGGUAAGUCCGCUCUGAAAGUCCGGGGCUCAACCCCGGGAGGCGGGUGGAUACUGUCGAGCUAGAGUCCGGAAGAGGCGAGUGGAAUUCCUGGUGUAGCGGUGAAAUGCGCAGAUAUCAGGAGGAACACCGAUGGCGAAGGCAGAUCUCUGGGCCAUUACUGACGCUGAGGAGCGAAAGCGUGGGGAGCGAACAGG
rnacentral:rRNA from 1 species